GUGCUUGCUUCCACAGCACAUAUACUAACAUUGGAACAAUACAGAGAUCAGCGUAGCCCCUGGGCAAGGAUGACAUGAAAACUGGUGAAGUAUCCAAUGUUAUA
ensembl:snRNA U6 U6 spliceosomal RNA